rnacentral:rRNA from 1 species
UGCCAGCAGCCGCGGUAAUAAGAAAGGUGCAAGCGUUGUUCGGAAUUACUGGGCGUAAAGAGCAUGUAGGCGGAUGAAUUAGUCAGAGGUGAAAGCCCCGAGCUCAACUUGGGAACUGCCUUUGAUACUGUUUAUCUAGAGUCCGAGAGAGGUUAGUGGAAUUCCCAGUGUAGAGGUGAAAUUCGGAGAUAUUGGGAAGAAAACCAGUGGCGAAGGCGGCGAACUGGCUCGGUACUGACGCUGAGAUGCAAAAGCUUGGGGAGCAAACAGGAUUAGAUC